GACGUAGGGCGCGAGCGUUGUCCGGAUUUAUUGGGCGUAAAGAGCUCGUAGGCGGCUUGUCGCGUCGACUGUGAAAUCCCGCGGCUCAACUGCGGGUCUGCAGUCGAUACGGGCAGGCUAGAGUUCGGUAGGGGAGACGUGGAAUUCCUGGUGUAGCGGUGAAAUGCGCAGAUAGUCAGGAGGAACACCCGAUGGCGAAGGCAGCCCCUGGGUCAA
rnacentral:rRNA from 1 species